CUUUCCAUUGACCAGCAGAUGGCUGUAUCGGGGAGGAUGCAGCAGUGAAAAGCCAGUGGAAAUUCUCCUCUCACAAAAGAAUCUCCAUGAAGCCUCCAAACCAAGUUACUUCAUCCUCACAGCUGGCUGGAUGGAAGACUUUCUUCUAACUGCUCUCUACGUUGUAAUCCUGCCUCGAUCUGCAGGGAGCGGUGAGAAAUAUAAAUAUAUUAUUAUUAUUAUUAUGGCCCAGUCCCCUUUCCCCUUAGGUUUAGACCUACUUAUCUCCUCUAGAAUGUCUGAAAUCAAUCAAUCCCCAAUGCACCUCCUGUUUGCUAGCCUAGGUAUGAGGAUCUAGUCAUGGCAUCCACAAUUGGGAUUGUACAAGGGUCAGCCAGCCUAUGUUUUAUUACAUUUCUGAUAUCAAAACAGGAGGGGUACCAACGAGCCUAAUAUGAGUACAUAAUCUUACACUUUCCAGGGUAUGAAAUGCUGGAAAGAAUGCUAAGGAAGACACAUAAAGAGAGGUAGCAAUAAAUGUACAUUGGAUGCUUUGCUUUUGAUACAGAUCUCUCAUUCAAAGAGUGGGAAGCAAUUGGCUAGGUUAUCUCAAUGAUUUCCUAUCAUUCGAAACAUUAAGAUAUAAAGCAUGCCCAAGUUAUCCUCAUGGCUUUUAAUGUCUAGUCCACAAAUGUUAUAGACAACCUAAUGAGGAAGCUUGUGUAUAAUUUAAAUGUAUAGUAUGAAUUGCAUGUUAGCUACUCUGAAGGAUAACUAAAAUCCAUUUAAAGUGUCUAAAGGUCAUUUAAUGUGUAAGAGUCAUUUAAAAGGUCUAAAGGUCAGGUAAAAGGUCUUAAAUCCUGUUUAAAACACGGGUGCUGUUUUUUUUAAAAAAUAUAGGACUGUAUUACCAGUAGAAUGAUUAUUAUUAUUUUAAAUGUGAUUGUUUUUUAACUCUGGUUUGUUUUCAUCUAUGUUGUGACCUGUCAUGUGUGCCAAACUGGGAAACGAAGGAGAAGAUUAAAUGGAUGGAUAGAUUGAAAGAAUAAGGACUCUGGGCUGCUGAGUCUGUCAAGGAUUUCCUCCUCUUCUGCCUGGAUCUGCCCCUUUUCCCUUGCUGCUCCCUAUUUCUGGAAUUGCCUCCCUAUCCACCUUUGGACUACUACUUCACUGUUAAGGUUAUCACAACAGAGCCUACAGAUGAUCUACUCUGAAGUCCUGACCUUGUGCAAGAAUAUGUUUGUAUCCUAACUUUAUUGAUCUGAGUGAUUCUACCCUCCUCUGAAGCUCUGGAAAGCAUCAGUUGAGACAUUCUACAUGAUCAACAGACAUUCGGCAUUCCAAAAUUUGCAACAGUCUAUGCAUGUAGGCUUUCCUUCUACAAACAUCCACAAAGUGGGUGCAUAGCAAAGAAGUAACUCAGUUUCAGCUGCUGUUGGCGGAACCCUGCUGUUGCCUGAGUAGAUUGAUGGACCUUUACCACACAGCUAAGUGAUUAAAAAUGUUUUUGUGAUUAAAAUGCCAUCUGAUCUCAAAUAACUUUGGUUAGAAACAAGUUCAAAUAUCGUCAACUGGAUUUAUUUCUUAAGCCUGCACAGCAACACAAACCUAAAGUUUUUUAGAAGAUGCAUAUAAUAUUAGGUUUUACAUCUCAGACAUUUUAGUUGGAAAUUAAUGCUCUGGGAACUUUAGAAAACUGAAUACCACACAGUGUAUCCCAGGCUGCAGAAGGAAUCAAGCUCCACCUCAUUUGUAGUUCACAAUUUAUUAGUGUAUAUAUUGGCCACCACUUUAUGAUGAGAGUUUAGGAUUUCAAUACAGAAAGACUGUCUCCCUCCCAGUGGUGUAUCUAGCAUGUUUGACAUCCUAUGCGUAUCAUACCCUCCUCUCUUCAACAACCUUUUCAAGGUCUGGUGGAAUUGCUGGCUGGGUAGGAAAGGGAGAAAACUUCAUAGAAUCAUAGAGUUGGAAGAGACUCAAGGGCCAUCCAGUCCAACCCCCUGCCAUGCAGGAAAUCCA